AUGCGGAUCAGGUCUUAGUUUUCCUAGGAGGAAUUCCAGCUGUGAUAGUGUUGAUUCUUGGCAUAGGCCACAGACUUAGGAGGGAGGGGCAGAGCUUAUGGUUUGGAAGGAUUUCCCAUUUUGACUUGGCUGGUUCUGGCUUUGCAACCUCAGGAAGCCUCUGGUUUCCUUAUCCCACAGCAAUAGAAUUGAGCUGGUUUGGCAACUAGUUGUCAACAGAUACUGCACUCUAUCUAUCUCCUCUGUAAACCAAAGCCUAGCAAGCGCUUGGAGGUGCUCACAGCCCCUUGGGUCCUCCUAUUCUCUCAUCAGCAUCAGUAUCACUUGUGCUAGUGGAGGCCUGCGCAUCUUCAAGACUCAAAUGGUUUUGGUCUUUUCAUUCAUAUUUAUACAAGUGUAUAGACAUAAUAUACACAUAAUAUGUGUACAUGAUAUGUGUACAUAAAAAUACAUAUAUAUGUAUACACACAGCAAUAUACACACAAACACAUUUUUUUCCAGAAAAUAUCUCAUUAUCUCUGUUAAUGUUUGCAACACUGUUUUGUGACAGCUGGCUAUAAAAAUAUCGGGCUGCCACUGAAUUUGUCAAUUUGCCAUACUUCCUAUUCUCUUUUUCAUUUUAGUUUAGAUAAAAUGCAAUUCUUUUCUCACCUUUUCCUUUAGUCCUUUGGGCUGAAAUCAGUUGCUUUAUACAUGCUGGGCAAGAGUCGUAUCAUCAUUGCACUACAUUUCUACUUCCAUCCACACAGUUUCAAAGGAUGGACAUAGAUAUUACUCUUUUUUCUGUAUUGUAAGUAGUCCGCAAGAUGGCCAUUAAAUUGUGAAAAUUAUACUUUUGGCCAAGUGCUCCAUAAUAUAUCAUUGGAGGUGGUGUUGUGAUGGGUAGGUACUGCUCUGGGACCUUGUUUCUCUGGUGGCUGUGCCUGCUUUAGAGAUUGGCAUUUACAAUGAAAUAAAUCAACUGUUGGGAGGGUAUUUUUAUAUUUUCUGCUGAAUAGGCAUAAGGUCGCUUUUUGGUAGGUUUUUGGCAGCCAGUACCUAUAUAUACCAUUAGCAGUGUCUUCUUGGUGUCCACAGACUGUUUCUCAGUGUGCAUAAGUUGGUUGUGCUUCCUGCUUCCUGCUUCCUGACUCUUUAUAAUCAUGACUAUCUCAUUUGCUUAUGGGUGUGAUAACAAGACUGGGUGUUUAAACAACAACCAUUUGUUUUCCAUUAAGAAGCUAUAAAGUUCAAGGAACCUGCAGAUUUGGUUUCUUGGUGGGCUUGCUGACAGACUUGUAGACAGCUGCUUGUUCAUUGACGGUUCCUAAGGGUUUAAUUCGUGCUUGUAGUGGGAGGUGGGGAGACUACUCUAAGGCACUAAUCCUAUUGUUAAGGUCCCACUCUCCUGUCCCAAUCUCAGCCCACUUAUCUACCAUCAUGGCUUCAUCUCAAAUACCAUUGCUUUUGGGGAAAGGACUUCAACAUUAGUUUUGAGAGCUCCAUACACUUAGUGUAUAGCACAGGAGUUGGCAUCUAUAGAGUUGAGCUUGCAUAGAGCUUGUGUGAGUGGUUUCUUGUGGAAACCUGGACAUGUGAGAGACUUUUCCCAUCUAUUUCGCAUCAGAGAAAACUCUUAUCUUCUUCCCGGUAAUAUUUUACAAUCCUAACAUUCAUACUUAGUUUCUGCAUAUGAUAUAUGAAUGUAUAAUUUGCCUUUUUCUUUAAAUACCGUCUUAUAAUUUUUGUGUGUAUGUGUGUGUGUGUGUGUAGGUAUAUAUGUAAUAUGCUUGUGAGUGUAGAAGCCAGAAGAAGCCAUUGUAUCCUUUGGAGUUUAAGUUACAGGUAUUUGUGGUAUGCCUGGCUUGUGCUGUGAUCCAAAUUCUAGCCUUUAUGAUUGCACAGUAAUUCUCCUAACCAUUGAUCCAUCUCUUCAGUCUCUUGAAGACUGGUUUUGUUAGUUUAUUUUUGUUUUUUUCCUACUUUAUUUCUACCUAUGAGACUGUGAUUCAUGUUCAAAGUACUCAAAAGUAAGGGAAAUAACUUUUUUUCUGUACGAGCUUCAUCCC
rnacentral:lncRNA from 1 species